rnacentral:rRNA from 1 species
GUGUCAGCCGCCGCGGUAAUACAGAGGGGGCAAGCGUUAUUCGGAAUUAUUGGGCGUAAAGGGCGCGUAGGUGGCCCGGCAAGUGGAAGGUGAAAUCCCUCGGCUCAACUGAGGAACUGCCUUCCAAACUGUUAGGCUUGAGUCCGGGAGAGGUGAGUGGAAUUCCCAGUGUAGCGGUGAAAUGCGUAGAUAUUGGGAGGAACACCAGUGGCGAAGGCGGCUCACUGGACCGGAACUGACGCUGAGGCGCGAAAGCGUGGGGAGCAAACGGGAUUAGAAACCCUAGUAGUCC